rnacentral:rRNA from 1 species
AUUGCACGCUGGCGGCAGGCCUAACACAUGCAAGUCGAACGAGUGGCGGACGGGUGAGUAAUGUCUGGGAAACUGCCUGAUGGAGGGGGAUAACUACUGGAAACGGUAGCUAAUACCGCAUACCAUCAGAUGUGCCCAGAUGGGAAUAGCUAGUUGGUGGUGUAACGGCUCACCAAGGCGACGAUCCCUAGCUGGGCUGAGAGGAUGCCCAGCCACACGGGAACUGAGACACGGUCCAGAAUCCUACGGGAGGCAGAAGUGGGGAAUAUUGCACAAUGGGCGCAAGCCUGAUGCAGUCAUUCAGCGUGGAUGAAGAAGGCCUUCGGGUUGUAAAGUACUUUCAGCGGGGAGGCGUUACCCGCAGAAGAAGCACCGGCUAACUCCGUGCCAGCAGCCGCGGUAAUUC